ensembl:lncRNA LINC00838 long intergenic non-protein coding RNA 838
ACAGAGUGUGCACUAUCAUCGUAACAGCAGAGACGGAGAGCAAGAUGUGAGGAGGUUAAAAGUCAGGGUCAGAAGUUCAGGUUGCUCUGACCCUCAAAUCAAUUUCAAGCACUGUUUGUGACAUUUUCCUGUGUUCCCUCGCUUGAUGUUAGUCUUUGCAAUGAACCACCGAAUCAGACUUCAGGGCUCAUGGGACUUUGGGGUUUCAGUAGGGUCAGGUCAAUUUCUACCUACCAGUGUACUGUCACCUAUGAGGCAAACCAUUAUCUAGGCGUUUGAGAACCUCAAAGUUUUGAAGCUCUGAGGGGAAAGAGAGAGGAUGAAGCGCUGGGGCCCCUGUGUCUUUGGGGCCUGACAUAGCUCAACCUGUGGCUUCAGGGGGACCGUGUGCAGCCAGGUCACAGUGGUACCGGAAAGGGAUCCUGAUCCAGACCCCAAGAGAGGGUUCUUGGAUCUCGUGCAAGAAAAAAUUCAGGCUGAUGGCACUAAGGCUGAACCCAGAAGCUGCAGCAGUGGACGGAUGAUGAUCUGAAGAAAUGAGAUCCCUGAUGGGCUUGGAAGUCAUGGUUCCUGUAACCAUGAUGUCACACCCUCGUCCUGACACCGAGAUGGGCUGGACACAUCUGUCACCCAGGGCAAACAAAAUGCUUGGUCUGCAUCUUUCAGAAGAAAACUAAAAAUCAAGUAAUUUCUUAGAAGUUUGCUUGCGUGUGGCUUAAGUCUUCUUCUCCUGUUGAGGAAGGUGUUGAGUUUGACCAUGACAGCCCCACCCAGUCCUUGGCUCAUCUCACCCAUCAAAGAGGAUCUGGAGAUUCAGAGCUAUGCCGUGGAAGACCUUGUCAGAGCACCAGGCCAUACUGUGCUGCAGGUGGGGUUCAGGUGCCCAGUGACAACCACCGGGGCCGCUCAUCCCUAAACGUCUGUUGAACUUAAAGUUCUACUCAAGACUUUCUACAUUAAAUACCCUUUCAUACAGCAAAAUCAGCCAUGUUCUGAGAUGUGAAACUGCAGCACAAAGUUACUGUGGUCUCCACCUAUAGAAAUGGAAUGUUACUUCAUAAAGCCCCAGGCCAAAAAAGAAACCCCAAAACUCUGAAACGACACCCUUAAAUUUAACCUGAACAUCUGGCCAGCCUCCUCCAUCAUUGAAACUUCUCCUGAGUGUUGGCAUGGAUCCUAUGUUUCUCCAGCCAGGGAGCUUUGCUCCCCAUUCUUGAUGGACCCACUGAGUCCCAAUUUUCUACAUUUUACUUGGGUCAUUCCACCACUUUGGGAUGCUUUUCCUACUCUGUUGUACUUUAAAAAUGUUUCUUCUUUCCUAUUCUCAGCUUCACGCAUUUGUCUUCUUUCUCAAUUCAACUUGCUUAGUUCUCGCUACAUCAAUUCCUAGAGCCAUCCAUCUGCACUUCUGAAUCAUUUAAGUUUUGUUUGGCUACAAGUAAUGGAAACCCACUCUGAGUAACUCAAGCAAGAACUGGAAUUUAUUGGAAGGACAGUGGGAUAUAUCAUAAGAUCCAAAAAGAAUUGAACAAAUAAAAUUUCAGAGGGAAGAAAAAGGGCAGCUCCAGUGACUUCAGCAACAAGACAACAUAAGUCUUUCUAGAGCAUAGCUACUAAUAUUAUUCAGCUGCAAGAGCCCCUCCCCAUGAGAAACUUGAUUGAAAAUUCUGAUUUCCCACAGAGAAGAAUCUGAUCGACUCAGUUUAGCUUUGGUUGCCCAACUGCUCAAUCUUGCAUGAAUUAUUUCCAGCCAAGGGGACAAGGUGUAUUAUAGGGACACACCUGCUUUCUCCAAAGAAAAGAUCUGGGCAUUUCCUGAUCAUUUCCCUGAGAAGGAGGAAUCAUUGUGAGCCAAGAAGAUACCUCAAGUAUAAUGAGCUCAGUUACACUUUUUUGAUAUCUGAGUAUUUGGUAUGUAGUGUGCAUUUUAAAAAACAUGUCUCUCUCCAGGACAAUGUUAACCUCUUCCACGGUGGAGUGGGGCUAUGUGAUUUUGUGCUUAAUUUACCUAGCUGGUGGGCCUCCAGUAGAGGCUGUAGUCGAGCCAGCUGAUACCACAUCAGUUCUCCAAAGGAACAAAAGCUGCCCUUCCUUCCUUAUUGCAAAGUUUGACAAAAAGCAAAACGUGAAGAAUAAAAGCGACUUGCAUUGUCUAACAUCUACCGCAGUGUUUGAGCUGCAGCUGCUCCUCCUCCCCUGAUUGUUUUCAAAUAUUUCUUCAAAAAAGGCAUUAAAGAAAAACACAAGAUAUUGCACAGGGAACCAAAACAAAUCACAAUCUUCAAGGACAAAGCAUUGCAAAAUGGCUUACAUCCCCAAAUGGGAACAGAUAUGGUUGGAAAUUAAAACAAUCUUUUUUAUUUUAAGCGGAAAUGCUAGCAGAUGCCACAAGAAACAUAUGGAACUCGCCACAGACAAAUAGGGAAUGCUUUCUGCGUGUGGAAGUAGAGCAAAGGGAGUGACCACCUCUGACUGUCAGGGGGAACCAUCAGCUCGAACUGUUUGCUAUGGCAGGAGGGAGUUUGCAGAGUCCGGAGUCCUGCCCUCAUGAAAAAGCUUUAACGGUCUUGACUGAGUAAUUUAAGUCAUUCUUGUCAGGGAGUUUCAGAACACUAUGCACAAUUAUAUUUAUUUCACAAUGCAUUGAUUCCAGAUAUCUUUUUAAAUGUGCUUACCUCUGUGUGCGUUGUUACCUGUUCCCUCUUUGAAUCUCUGAAUGAAACAAAAUAAAUAGGAAAAAAUGGAGACAUAGAAGCAUUGUCCACAAGGCAUCUCCCACUCUAGAGGUCUCCCAGCCCCGUGCUAGCUUGUUAAUUUAUUAUCGCUUGUCUGUCAAACAAGGAAGAUAUAAUUUGCCACACAACAUGUUUUCCUAAAGCAAUGUUUUUGUACAAUUUCCUGAUUUCCAAAAAUAUGACCAAUGAUAUUCUGGUUGA